rnacentral:rRNA from 1 species
AUGAACGCUGGCGGCGUGCCUAAUACAUGCAAGUCGCGCGAACAGACGAGGAGCUUGCUCCUCUGACGUUAGCGGCGGACGGGUGAGUAACACGUGGAUAACCUACCUAUAAGACUGGGAUAACUUCGGGAAACCGGAGCUAAUACCGGAUAAUAUAUUGAACCGCAUGGUUCAAUAGUGAAAGACGGUUUUGCUGUCACUUAUAGAUGGAUCCGCGCCGCAUUAGCUAGUUGGUAAGGUAACGGCUUACCAAGGCAACGAUGCGUAGCCGACCUGAGAGGGUGAUCGGCCACACUGGAACUGAGACACGGUCCAGACUCCUACGGGAGGCAGCAGUAGGGAAUCUUCCGCAAUGGGCGAAAGCCUGACGGAGCAACGCCGCGUGAGUGAUGAAGGUCUUCGGAUCGUAAAACUCUGUUAUUAGGGAAGAACAAAUGUGUAAGUAACUAUGCACGUCUUGACGGUACCUAAUCAGAAAGCCGCGGCUAACUACGUG